rnacentral:misc_RNA from 1 species
GAUGAAGAACGUAGCGAAAUGCGAUAAGUAAUGUGAAUUGCAGAAUUCAGUGAGUCAUCGAAUCUUUGAACGCACAUUGCGCCCACUGGUAUUCCGGUGGGCAUGCCUGUUCGAGCGUCAUUAUCCUCCCUCAAACCCCGGGUUUGGUGUUGGACCCAAGUUGUGUGAACAACUGGUCUCAAAGACAAUGACGGCGUCCGUGGGACCCUCGGUGCAACGAGCUUUUAGGAGCACGCAUCGAGUUGCAAGGACCUUCCGGGCCGGUCUCCUUUACCAUUUUACAAGGUUGACCUCGGAUCAGGUAGGAAUACCCGCUGAACUUAAGCAUAUCAAUAAGCGGAGGA